rnacentral:rRNA from 1 species
UACGUAGGGGGCAAGCGUUGUCCGGAAUCAUUGGGCGUAAAGAGCGUGUAGGCGGCCCGAUAAGUCCGCUGUGAAAGUCCAGGGCUCAACCCUGGAAUGCCAGUGGAAACUGUCGGGCUGGAGUCCGGAAGAGGCGAGUGGAAUUCCUGGUGUAGCGGUGAAAUGCGCAGAUAUCAGGAGGAACACCAGUGGCGAAGGCGGCUUCCUGGACACCAACUGACGCUGAGACGCGAAAGCGUGGGGAGCAAACAGG